CCUCAGCACCUCCUGGCUUGCUUGUACUCUGACCUGCUCCUAGCCCAGAAUGUGCGUUCUUUGCCUGCUGCCUCAGGAGCAAGAACCCGGGAACAACAGGCAUGUGGGGCCGCCCUUGCCAGAACGCAGACUGAAUCUCACAUAACGGAGGCUGGCUUCAGAUUCACUAUGCAGCUUAGGCCAGUCUUGAACUGGUUCUUCUGUCUCUAGCGCCCAAGUGCAGAAUUACAACUGUCUCUCUGGGGGCCCUCCUGAUGAAUUCUUUAUUUGGUGCCAUGUCCCCCAGCAGUGCCUUCUGCACCUCCAGAUCCCAACUCUUAGAGUCCAAGACCAGUAACUGUCUCAUUUCUUUGCAUCCAUUCUUCUGAUCUCUCUUUGCUGUGGCACCUGACUGUCCAUCAUUAACCAAGAGACGGGGAGAAUUUGCAGUAUAAUGUGAACCAUCUGCUGCCCCAGUCACUGUGUGACUCCUGGCUAAGGAACUCUGUGCAACAGCAGAAAGUUAGGGCCGGGGUCCCUUCCGCAGAGGACUACUGUUGUCUAGGGUGCCUGUGGAGGGUGGGCUGACUACCCGCUCUGGCUUGGCUCCCCUCCUGUGAUAAGGCCAUGGAGUCGAAACACGAUGCUUUAGCUUUGUCUCCAGACCUUGGCCACGCAUCUCUAUCAGAUGUUAAAGGGACCAGCACUCACUCAAAUAAUGGGCUGACUUUCUGGCUUGUCUAUGAGCACCGCUUCUGCAUGCCUAGGCCACGUUUACUGCAGAGGCACACGCGUCGAAGGCUCUUGCCUGUGCCCAAGCGAAACAAAACAGAAACUUCCACAGCUUCUACAAAUGUUUGCUACUUUGGAACACAAGGUCAAGGCCUCCCAGGCCACUGGAGGGAGUUUGUCCAGCAAGGUCUGGUGAGAGGCUGGCCUUCAGUGCUCCGAGGGAGUCCCUUCUGCAGACCUGCAGGUGGGAACACAGCCCUGAGGCACCCAACAGCUCUGAGCUUUGCCUGCCAGGUCAUUGGAAUUUGGGACACACAUUGCAGCUCUCAGACACUCAUUUUCAGCCAAUUCCUGUUUGUAGAUGAUGGUUAAUUAUCAGAAACCAGCCUCGGUCUUCCCUUUCCCAAAAUGGGAUCCAAGGUCUCCAUUCCUACACGCUUUUGGCUUGGCUUAAAACCUCAAGCAGAAGAAACCCCAACUAAGACAGCAGCUAUGGAACACCAGCUCUUUCUGGAAGAGAGCUUCCCACAGGUGUGAUGUGGCAUUCUGCACCCUCACCUCCAUGUUUCCUGAAUAAAGGAGGCUGCCAGAUACCCUGCCAUCAAACUCACAGGUUUGGGAAAUUAUACUGGAUACCUAAGUGGUGUUCUUGAACUUUUGAUAGACAAUACUAUGAAAACGACCCAACAGGAUCCUAUUUUUCUCUCAAAUUGUGGGAUAGACGCUGACUUUAACUGACUUGCUAAGUAUCUAAGUGUUAGAUCCUCAUGUAAGACUCUGAGGUCACAAACAGCUGGUUAUGGUUACCUUAUGGCCUCUGGUACAUGGUCCAGUCAGUUUUACAAUAGCGUUUUACCUUACAAAAAAAAAGCUUACAUUAAUCAUGAUGUUAAAAUUUUUCCUUAUUAACUCUUGUGGAGGGCCACAACCAUAUUCUCCAUUACUUUAAGGGGCAGAGGUAGUUGACCUCUGUGACUUCAGGGUGUGG